rnacentral:rRNA from 1 species
UACGAAGGGUGCAAGCGUUACUCGGAAUUACUGGGCGUAAAGCGUGCGUAGGUGGUUUGUUAAGUCCGUUGUGAAAGCCCUGGGCUCAACCUGGGAAUGGCAGUGGAUACUGGCGAGCUAGAGUGCGGUAGAGGAGAGUGGAAUUCCCGGUGUAGCGGUGAAAUGCGUAGAUAUCAAGAGGAACACCUGCGGCGAAGGCGGGUUGCUGGGCCGACACUGACGCUGAAGCGCGAAAGCUAGGGGAGCGAACGGG